UCCGCUCCUUCUCUCCGGCUUCUCCCUACGUCGCUCCUUCUCCCAUGCGCAGAUGCUCCACCCGCCGCCUCUCCGCUUCCUCUCCCCGCGAAGCGGCUGCUCCACCAAGUGACGCCAUUAAUGGCCGACCGGCCUUUAAUCUUCCCCGGGCGCCCUCUCGGCCUAUAAAGAUCGCCAUCGACCUCACCCGAAGCUCCUUUCCCCGUUUGCCGCUCACUCGCCUCCUCCCUUGCACAGCAGCGCCGCCGCCCUGUGCGCCCCGCCCAGCGCCGCCACACCGGUCGCCGCCGCCUCGCGCCGCUUCCCUGGCCCGCGCUGCGCCGCCGUCACCUGCGCCCCUGGCCGCACCACCACCGCCGCCGCCCACCCCUUGG
rnacentral:lncRNA from 1 species